rnacentral:rRNA from 1 species
UACGUAGGGUGCAAGCGUUAAUCGGAAUUACUGGGCGUAAAGCGUGCGUAGGCGGUUGCGCAAGACAGGUGUGAAAUCCCCGGGCUUAACCUGGGAAUUGCACUUGUGACUGCAUGGCUAGAGUGCGGCAGAGGGGGAUGGAAUUCCGCGUGUAGCAGUGAAAUGCGUAGAUAUGCGGAGGAACACCGAUGGCGAAGGCAAUCCCCUGGGCCUGCACUGACGCUCAUGCACGAAAGCGUGGGGAGCAAACAGG